GACACUUUGGCCGAGUGGUCAAGGCGGUUGCCUGCUAAGCAAUUGGGUUCUGCCCGCGCAAGUUCGAAUCUUGUGAGUGUCG